rnacentral:sRNA from 1 species
UCAAACCCUUGCUUCCAAAUUUCAUUUUCUAUUUGCUCCCAAAUUUCACUUCACUUUCGCCCAAAACCUGCGUUCCAUUCAUUCUGAUCGUUGUUAGUGGAGCUAUUCAUUGUUGCAUUCUCUUCUCUGUGCUCGUCAGCCAAGGUUCAGCAAGUGUGGUUGCCGGCCAGGUUUAGGAAACCAGUGUGCAAGUCAUGUCUCCUUCAAGCCUUCAAGAAACCAGUACGUUCGCGGCCAGUAUGAUGCAAAGGCAACUAAACGAUCUAUUCUGAAUGGUUACGAGUCUCUUCUUCAAGAAAGUGCUGAAGAUAAAGUUUCUGAUUCUAUUCUUUAAGAUUGUGUAUAUGGUUGAAUAAAAUGUUAAGG